UCCGAUAUGGUCUAGUGGCUAGGAUACAUCGCUCUCAUUCAGAGGAUCCCGAUGUGGCCCGGGUUCGAUUCCCGGUGUCGGAA
rnacentral:tRNA from 1 species